rnacentral:rRNA from 1 species
AUUGAACGCUGGCGGCAUGCCUUACACAUGCAAGUCGAACGGCAGCACGGGUGCCUGCACCUGGUGGCGAGUGGCGAACGGGUGAGUAAUACAUCGGAACGUACCUUAUCGUGGGGGAUAACGCAGCGAAAGCUGUGCUAAUACCGCAUACGCCCUGAGGGGGAAAGCGGGGGAUCGCAAGACCUCGCGCGAUUAGAGCGGCCGAUGCCUGAUUAGCUAGUUGGCGGGGUAAAAGCCCACCAAGGCGACGAUCAGUAGCUGGUCUGAGAGGACGGUCAGCCACACUGGGACGGAGACACGGCCCAGACUCCUGCGGGAGGCAGCAGGGGGGAAUUUUGGACAAUGGGGGCAACCCUGAUCCAGCAAUGCCGCGUGAGUGAAGAAGGCCUUCGGGUUGUAAAGCUCUUUUGUCAGGGAAGAAACACCGGCUCUAACACAGUCCGGGAAUGACGGUACCUGAAGAAUAAGCACCGGCUAACUACGUGCCAGCCGCCGCCGUAA